rnacentral:rRNA from 1 species
GACAUAAGUAACGAUAAAGCGGGUGAAAAGCCCGCUCGCCGGAAGACCAAGGGUUCCUGUCCAACGUUAAUCGGGGCAGGGUGAGUCGACCCCUAAGGCGAGGCCGAAAGGCGUAGUCGAUGGGAAACAGGUUAAUAUUCCUGUACUUGGUGUUACUGCGAAGGGGGGACGGAGAAGGCUAUGUUAGCCGGGCGACGGUUGUCCCGGUUUAAGCAUGUAGGCUGGUUGUCCAGGCAAAUCCGGAUAAUCAAGGCUGAGGUGUGAUGACGAGGCACUACGGUGCUGAAGUAACAAAUGCCCUGCUUCCAGGAAACGCCUCUAAGCAUCAGGUAACAUUAAAUCGUACCCCAAACCGACACAGGCGGUCAGGUAGAGAAUACCAAGGCGCUUGCGAGAACUCGGGUGAAGGAACUAGGCAAAAUGGUGCCGUAACUUCGGGAGAAGGCACGCUGGUGUGUAGGUGAAGCCCAUGCGGGUGGAGCUGAGACCAGGCGCAGAUA